rnacentral:rRNA from 1 species
UAAAAGAAUCGAUGGCAAUAUAGUUCUAACAUCAAAAAGUAUUUCAAAGGGGUUAUUAAGGAUAACUAGCAAAUUUAUAAAAAAGGAGGUAAUAAACCAAAAGCCACAAGAUUAAUUUAUCAAUCCGAUUAUGGAUAGGUAAUUUAAUAUCAAUAAUUCUGGCGAUCCUAAGGGAAACCUUUAUUAUAAAAACUUCCCGAAGUAAAUCAUUUUAGUAGGGAAAGGAAAGGAAAUCAACCGAGACUCCGAAAGUAACGGCGAGUGAAAUCGGAAUAGCCUAUAUAAUUAAGCUUCAAUUGAAACUAUACCAAAGAAGGUAACUAUAAGUCCUGUAGAUUGUUGGAUAAUUAUCAAAUCUCUAUAGAAAAUAUAGACGACUAAAAAGUACGAUGAGAGAAAACUUGUCGGAAAAUAGGGGAACCAUCCUCUAAGGCUAAGUAUUAUAAAUUUCGCUAUAGUGAAAAGUACUUCAAAGGAAAAGUUGAAAAGAAUGUAAUAAUAGACAUAGUGAAAUAGUCUUGAAUUAGUAACUCUAUAAGCAGUCCAAAUUUAUACAACUAUAAAUAAGGGCGUACCUUUUGUAUAAUGGGUCAGCAAGUUAAUAGGAGUAGCAAGGUUAAAAGCCUUAGCGAAAGCGACUGCACUAACUAGCUAAAGUAUUUUGUUUAUUUUAUUUACUAAAAUAAGUUAUAAAUAGAAUAAUCCUUUAUUGUUAAGUUUAGUACAAGCAAUAAAGUCAAUUAUUUUCUAGGUAAUAGUGGCGGAUAAGUUACUUCUAUUAGACCCGAAGCAAGGUGAUCUUCCCAAGACCAGAUGUAUAAUGGAUCGAACGGGUGAAUGUUGCAAAAUUCUCCGAAGAGUUUUGGGAAGCGGUAGUAAAAUUAAUUGCCGCAUUGAAAAGUGAUUUUCAAUAAAAAACUAGCUCAUAACGGUGGAAACCUUUUAUCUUUAAGGUUAAUAGGAAAUACCGUGGGAAGUUGUAUCAGGCCCUUGGAUUAAUAAGAAUCCAGCCACAGUAACAAUACUAAAUUAGUAUAAUUCAUAUAAUUAAUAUUACAGAUAAAGUUCUUAUAGAGACGCUUCGCUUCUUAAUAGAUUAUAUGGAUAGUUGAUAUUAACCCCGUAACGACUUUAAUUGAAAAAUUAAGGCUUUAAAAAUAAAGCAAAACGCUAGCACUCUUAGUUACACUGGAUUAUGGUUUGAAUGUAUUUCCGCUCCGCGCGUCAACUAAAACCUAAGAUCCAUUAGAGUUGAAAGUAUAGUCUGAACUAUUUCGUAAGAAAUAGAUUAACAAAAUUGGAAAUGCCAAUCUGACCUUGUGCUAGCUGGUUUUCUACGAAACAUAUCUUAGUAUGACAUCUAUACAAAAUUUAUGGUGGUACAGCAAUUAAUUCCCAACUGGUAAUAGUAAUUAAUUUUGCUAUUACACCGGUUUAGGUUGAGGGGAACUAGAAAAUCUUACCAAUGGAAGAUAAACUCGAAAUGACAUAAAUUGAUGGUAGAUAUUCAGACUGCUCAUGAAAAAGUUGAGUAGUCAAGACGGAAACAGCCGAGAACACGCAAUCAAGGUCCCAAAUGAUUAUUCAGUGAAAUUAAGGAAAUAACAUAUCGAAUUCAGCUAGCACAGUGAGCUUAAAAAACUACACUCCGAGCUCUCCUCUGGGCUAAACCAAAAAAUUAGCUAUAUGCAAGAAAGCCCUAAAGAUGUUUUGACUGUAAAGGCGUUCUGUUCAUCUUAACAUCUUAACUAAAGAUGAAGAAAGUAAAGUAAAAUAAAACAUAUAGACUGACACUUCAAGGCUAUAGCAGAAGAGUAUUUGAAGUUUAAGGAAAAUGGGUAAUUUGCAAGAAGCGCAAAAUCAAUAGUUUCUUCAACGACUAUACGCUUAUAAUUUAAAAUAUAUAGUUUAUAUGAAAAAUUGUGACAAAGUCUUUCAAUAGAAAGUCCGAUUAAUGCAGGGUCUCAAUUCCUUUGCUAUUUGCUCGUUGAUCCCGUGCUACGUACACAAAUCUGUACAGGAGUACACGAGGGAUAAGGGAAUGAAGCAAUGCACGCUAUAGCACAAAAAUAAAUUGAACCCUCAAUCAGGACCGCGGCUCUUAUUCUCGCAUGCCGUACUUGCAUGUCCAGGAGCAGCGCUUCGUUCGGGAGGUAGCUAUUCUGAUAAUAAACGUAAUGUAACAACGUAGCAGCCCUUAGAAUGUUGUACCAAAAAUUUAACGGGUCUAAAUAAUCAACCGAUAUCGUGUUUAUUUUGAAUAAAAGGCAUAAUACAACUUUUUAUUCAUAAUAUAGGUAGUAGAACAUUCAGUAUACUUAAUAUAAAACAGUGUUUCAUUGUUUUUAGGUAACUGAAGAGAUAAUGCUGACAUUAAAUACUAGUGUCAGUCAAAAUAUUAAAUUAAAUGCUAGAAAGAUAUUAUUAUAAAUAAUAAUAUUUUAUAUUAAUUGUGUUAAAGUACAAUUUAAAAUAUAUAAAAUAAAAAAUAUUAACUAGCAAAUUUAAGUGAUAAAUUUCAACGACUAAACAUUUAAGUUUAAUUAUUUUUAUUAUUAAACAAGACAUAGUCUUUUUCCGUUUCUUUCGCUGCAGACAAAGUUACCCGUACGGGUCCUGUACAGUCAACGAGUGUGCAGCCAUACAUUUUUUUUGUAUAGCAGGCUAGCGAAAUAGAAAAAAGAAAGAAAAAGGAGAAGGAGUAACGUAAAAAGAAGUUAUAAUACUUCUCGCCGAAUACGAAAGGGUUAUAAGGAAAGGUUAAACCACCUUAUGUUAAUGCGGCCUCUAAGGAUAGAAGCUAAGGCUUCAACUGAUGAGUAGAUAACUGAAAGUCUUGCAUCAAGCCCGUACUAAAAAUUUAAGUGCGGAGCCGAAUAAGAACGGAGGGACAAGUACAGCACCGUAGGGUGUUUCACCUUUACGAAACUCCUUCGAGUGGAACAGGAAAAUUAAGUUAUAUCUAUAUGCUACCGUACCCUAAACCGACACAGGUUCGUAGGUAGAGAAUACUAAGGCGUAGAGCUAAAAGUUGUUAAGGAACUCGGCAAAUUCUCCUCAUAAGUUAGUCGAAAAGAGGAACCCUAUUUAAUUUCAAUUAUAAAUCUAUAAUUGGUUUUUUCACGUUCACUGUACGACGAAAUAGGGUGGCAGCAAAUCGGAGGCCCCGACUGUUUACUGACUCAGUAUUUUGGGAAAUACUAUUUUGGUACAAACUAUCAAACUACGGGAACCUCCUAAAGCUUUUGAUACCAAGCUAUAUUUGAAAAAAUAUAAGUGGCUGAACUAAUCACUCAGGUAUGGUAACAAGUCAAAAGAUAGAUGAAAAAAAAAUGGAAUAUCGCGUAUCUAAAUCAAUUUUAUUUUUAAUAAAAAUAGUCUUUUAUUUAACUAUUAUUUUUAUUUUAAUUUCUUUUUUAGUGGGAGCUAAUAUAGUACUAUUAUCUGCAGCACAUUAUUCCUGCUGUGGUGUAUGGUAAUGCCGACCUAGAAAAAUCUAAUAUUACUAUAGGAAAUAAACAAAAAGCGGGAGUUUAUAGAUGAGUCAACAAAAUUAACGGAAAAUGUUAUGUUGGUAGUUCUAUUAACUUGUCUAAUAGAUUUUAUUUUUAUUUCAAUUUAAAAGCUAUGCACGCUAUUUGACAUACUUCGAAAAUUUCUCUUAUUGCUUUGCAAUUAUUAAAAUACAAAAAAUAAGCCGUGCGGUCCUCCCCCUGGUGUACAGCCUCCGGUGCACGCACGCACGCUAUAGCAAAGCAAAGCAAAGCCGAGCGGAGCGCAAAGAAAAACCAUUUAAAGGAAGAUAUUUCGUGACUAAAUUAAAGCCAGAUAUUUCCUAAUUUAACUUAAAAUAAAAAUAAUUUAAACAAAUAAAAAGAAAAUCCGGUAGGCUUCUGUUGUACAGCUGUGGCUUAUUUAUUUUUAAAAUAAAUUAUACCUAAGGAUUUAAUUGUAAAAGAGCAACGAGUAGACGGUAGUUAAUUAUUGAAAAAUAAUUUAAGGUGUACUCUAAUGGGUUUCGAAAGAAAUUAUCCUGUCAAAAUCCCUUCUAAACAAAAUAAUAAAGUAAUCAAAAUAUUUAUAACGUAAUAACUCAUAACCAAAUUUACGUAAUUAUUUUUGAUUUUUAUUAUUCUGCAUGAUAAAUUUGAUGAUCGUGAAAAACAUAAUUCAGAGCAAUGAUUAAUAUAAUAGUAUUCUGAAUGAAAUUUGCCCAAUGCCAUUAAUAUAAGAGAGGUAAUGAACAGUUACUAAUCGAAAAUCUGGUUAAUAGCGGUCGAUUAAGGCCGCGUGUUUACACUAUUCACUAUUUGCUAGAAUCUCUUUAAUAACUUAUUACUAAUAACACACCGGUCGUCUCCUCUCCAGAGAUUUGCCUUGGAGGUAGGGUGCUCCGGUUCAGUAAAAAUAUAAGUUAUGAUGUUUGCAACAAAAAGACAACUAGCAGAUAAUAUUUAUAUUUAAUAACAAAAUAUAGAAUCUCAACGACUACAUGUGAAAUAAAAAAAUAUAGUCUAGUUUAUAAUGUACGUGUUGACAAAAUGCGCCCGACCUCUCUGCUUUGCAUCCUAUAGGGUGCUCGCUAUAGCAGGGCGCAUAGAUGGUACAUUCUAAAUAGCUUAUUAUUGAGGAUCCAAAGGUAGCAAAAUCAAUUGGCCAUUAAAUGUGGUAGCCCCGACCUCACGCGCGUAGCGCUGUACAGGAGGAUUGGUGUGCGAGAAUUUGCUUGUCUCGUAUAUAACCAAUUCAAAGUAAACAAAUUCUGUACUAUUGGUUAUCAGGCCUCAUUUAUAAAACUUCACUAUAUUCUGAAAAAUUUAACGGUAGAAUAAUUGUUUUUAUUACCCAACACUCUCUUUGCUAUAGCCUUCGUUGAUCGUACGCUAAAAAUAAUGGAGGAACAAUACUCUUCAAGAUAUUUGAAGUUUCCCUCCGGGCCCUUGGUGGCUAAUAAGAGCGGGGGUCAAAAUAUAAAAAAAGCGAAUUAAUCAGAAGAUAAUAUAAACUUUCAAAUUUGUACCCGAGGUGGUAACAAAACAAAGACAGAAGAAAUAUCUCAGAGACUACACGUGAAAAACAGCCGUAUAAUAAUUCAAAAAAGAACGGACGGCAGUUAAAUAUAUAGUCCAAACGGUUUUGGUUUUCAGCCAAAUAUGGUAUUAUUACUAUUAAUUUAAUAUUAAGAUCGUUUUGCUGGAAUGAGUAGUGUAACGAGGGCCUCACUGUCUCUACAACUUGCUCAGUGAAAUUGAAUUGUGAGUGAAGAUGCUCACUAUCUCCAGGUCAACGUCGGCCUUGUUUAAAUAUAAGAAAUUUCUACAAUCAAUGAAAAUCUUUAUAUUUAAUACUAAUCACUAAAUGCUUGAAGUCUUUUUACUAAUAAUCCAAACUUUUGGUAAAAUUUAUUAGCCUAUUGACUCGGUUCCGCUGUACAGCACGCUUGCCGUACGGCCAGCGGUUGUAUUCAUAAAAUAACAAUAAACUAAGGCACUAGAAAAAGUAAUAAGCAGCAGGCUGAAAAAGUCCGCUCAACGACUACACGUGAUAUAAAAAGAUAUAGUCUUAAUUCUUAUUUACAAGUUGGUCUUUCCUAAGAAUAUUAAUAAUCUCUCCUUCAAUAAACCGAAGGAUCUUGAUCUUUAAAUAAGGAAGGAAGCUUCCUCCGGUUUUUGCCCGGAGGAUAAGUGUGAAUAUGAAUCGGAGACGGGAAGACCCUGUGCAGCUUUACUGCAGUUAGUUAUCAUGUUGAUCUACAACAACCUUGGUUAAUAGUGAUUAGGGAAGUCGAUAGACGAAAAGUGGAAUACCUUAUAACGUUAGGUUGGGUCAAUAUUAACCUUAUAAUUUGAGGGAGAGUUGACUAAUGGGCAGUUUGACUGGGGCGGUCGUCUUUGAUAUAGUAGCAAAGUACAUCCAAAGAUUUGAAUAUAAAAUAAUAUCGCUUAUCUCUUUUUUUAUUUAAGAAAAUAGCUCUCUUUAGAGCAGCGAUAUCCAAACUUAAAGUUUAUAGAUGAAAUAAGUGUUUUAUUUAUUUCUAUUUAUAUCAUUUUUUAUUAAGAAAGGUAGAGCUAGAAUAUUGUAUGGGGAACAAUCUACCAGUGAGAAAGGUAGUAAUCGGCGUAAUGGCGGUAAGCUUGCCUAACUGUAAGACCUAGAAGUCGCACAGACACGUAAGUGUGGCAUAGUGACCCUCCGCUAUUUUAUGGAGCAGGCGGAGCUAAUUCGAUAACAUUAAAAUCUUAAAUUUAACUUUUGUCGCUUAAAUUAGAAAUAAUUUAUUGUAAAUUGGGUUAAUUUCAAGAAAAUCUCUUCUUGUACCCGUUCCGUUAUUAAUAUGCUCUUUCGAGCCCUCCCUUAUCCUUUAAAGGAAAUUCAAAAUAAUAACGAACAUAAAGGGUUGGCUUUUCUUUGGCUUUAACAAUAACAGAACAGUAGAGAGAUAACCUGAAGCGAAGCUAGGCAAGACAUAAACAAAAAAUUGCCUAGAACGUUCAACGACUAGUGGGUGAGUAUUUGUCAACAAUAAUCCCACCACGAAAGCCCGACAAUUAAUUGGAGCCGGAUCACUUGUAUUUCCAAGUACAAAAAAACCUUGGAUUAAUAAGUUAAUUACUUAGUUAAAAUCAAGGCAGAUCAUGGUUGUUGUUAUAAGAAGAACGAACGAAAUAACAAUUAAUUGAUGAUAUAGUCUGAACUAGCUGGUGACAGCUAGAAGCUUAUGAUAAAAAAAUAAGUGAUAACAUGAUUUGAAAAGUUACGCUAGGGAUGAACAUUACAUUAGUUGUCCCCCUCUGUCGAAAGAUUGAGUGGACUCAACAAAACAACAACUGGGUGAAUUGCAAAAACUACUUAAUAAGUAAAUUUGCAGCGAAGCUUAUCUUAGCAUCGUAAAAUAACUAUUUUAUAUAGUGAGAUAAGAACGUUCAACGACUAGAAAGUGAGUAAUGCUAAACAAUAAUCUUUCCACGAGCGCCCAGCAUCUAAUUAUGGCUCCGCUGCUCCGCCUCCGUACGGGGGUAGUUAAUAUAAUUAAGAUGAUGACAUAGUCUGAACCACUUUGUGAUAAGUGGAAAAUAGAGGAUUAAAUGGCCUUUACGCUAACAAAUUUGAACAGGUUAAUAGCCGGUGAGAGUACACAUUGUCCCGGCUGUUUGACACCUCGAUGUCGACUUUACUAAUCCUCCAGGGGCAGAAUCUUGGAAGGGUUCGGCUGUUCGCCGAUUCAAAAGUAACAUGAGUCAACUAGGCUCCUUAAUAACAGUAAUGUUAUAAAGAAAAAAUAGGGUAAAUUGCAAGGACUUCUUAAAUAUUACUAUCUAAGACAAUUUGCAGCGAAGCUUGAUUCGGUAUAUGGGCUUUAUUAAAAUAGCAGAAUCAAGAACGUUCAACGACUAACAAGUGAGUAAUACCAACAAUAAACUUGACACGAAACCCUACGUCCAUAGUAGUAAAAUGGAUGAUGACAUAGUCUAAGCAUUGUCGUGAGGCAAUGAAGAUAGGAUUAAAUUAUCUAUCGAUAAUAUACUGUGGGUAAAGAUAGCACCUUACUUAAAUUCUAAUAACAUACGUCCAUAUCUCAUUACUUUAAACCUAAUAGGUUAAUUACAUAGUUAAAAUCAAAUUUUAAUUGUGUAGAGAUAGUUCUUUAUAUUUUCUUAAGAACAUUUAUUAUCAUCUAACUAAUUAUGCCUCUAAAAACAAAUAGUACAAAUAUUAAUCAUUUAGUAAGCCAAAAUACAAAUAAUACAGUAAGCACAAAUUUAGAUCCUUAUUAUAUAAGUGGUAUGACUCAAACUGAUGGUUCAUUUUCUGCUAUAGCGGCGGAACUGAAAUUACCUCAGAUAACACAAUAAGAUUCAUACCUAAAUUUGAGUUAAAAGCGGAUUUAGACUCUAAACAAACUUUAGUUCAAAUUCAGGAAUAUUUUGGUUGUGGUCGAGUAACUGAGAACCAUAGUGAUCACACUGCAAGUUUUAUAGUAACUAAACAAAGUGAUUUAACCGAUAUUAUUAUUCCUCAUUUUAAAAAAUACCCUGUUUUUUUCAAUAAACUUCAUGCCUUUAAUUUAUUUAUUAAAGUAUUAGAUUUAUUGGCUAGAAAAGCUAAAAACAGGGAUAAUUUAUUAUUACUGAUCUAUGCUGUAUCUAUGAAUCCUGCUACCACUAAACGAAGUGAUGAACAAAAAUUAAAAUUGUUUCAAACACUAGGACAAAAUCAUAUUCUACCUACCAUUCCGGAUCAAAUUACAGAUAUGACCUCUGAGUUAACACCUGGAUUUGUAGCUGGAAUUUUGGACGGGGAUGGUUCCUUUAAUAUUACUUUUCAAAUUAAUGGUAAAAUUAAACCAGUGGUUAGUUUAUGUUUUGGGCCAACUGCUUUACCUUUGAGAGAAGCAUGUAAACAGUAUUUAGGCCCUUCAGGUUCGGUAUAUAAACAAAAAUCAAUUUUUGUCUGAAAAAUAUCUAGCCUGGAUGAUCUUAUAAAUUAUGUAAUCCCGUUUAUGGAUUCAAAUUCUAUUCAUACUCAAAAAAAAGAGCACUACUUGAUUUGGAAAGAAGUUUGUUUUAUGCUUAAAGCUGAGAAACACCUAUCUAAAGAAUCAUUGUUAAAAAUAGUAGAUAUGGCUUAUAACAUGAAUAAAGACGGUAAACGAAGAAAAUUAACUUUAGCCGAAUAUCUGAAAGUGAUUGAUACAUUAUAUCCUUAACCUUUUGUUUCCUUACUCCCCUGCAUCCUUUGCUAUAGCGUGGAUUUCGCAGCGUCGAAUCAACCAAAGGAAGGUUUUAUUUAAAUUUGUCUUAUUUUUUUUAUCGAUAAUUUGUUAUUAAGAAUUUAAGUAUUAUAGGUUAAGCCCCUUAAUAACUAAAUAAUGGAAAAUUUUAGUAUAUUAAGAAAACUGGGUAAAUUGCAAGGAUAACUUUCACUUUACAAAAAAUCAUUAAAGGAAAAGUCAAUUUGCAUCGAAGCUUACUUUGACAACAAGCCCGUACGGGAAUAAAGUAAGAACGUUCAACGACUAGAUGGUGAGCAAUGUCACAAUAACCCAUCCACGAAUACCCAGCAUUAAAGCCAAUUUAAUGAUGACAUAGUCUGAACAAUAGUGUGAACUAUUGAAGAAUAGAAUAAAUAGCUAUUCGAUAACAAAUUUGUUAAUACGACGUGAGUCAGUAUGGGUCCUAUCUUCUGGAGAGAAAAAUAGUAAAAAGGGGCAGACCUUCUAGUACGAAAGGAUCAAUAGGCUGUGUUUCCCUAGUGUACCAAUUGUUUAAAAUAGAAGAAAUUAAGCAUAGUUGGGUAGCCACAAACAUGAUAGAUAAGCGCUGAAUGAAUAUGAAGCAGGAAGCUAUCCCCUAGAUACUAUCAUUAGAUUCCUAUUU